UUUAUUUCAGUUAUUUAAAAAAAAAAAGAGAAUGAAGAAAAGAGUAUUUAUGUUGCUUUUGUUUUUCUCCAUUCCUGCAUUUCAAUACUGAGAGAGAAAAGAGAGCUUUGUUUAUUUUGUUUUUUUUUGUUUUUAUCCAUUGCCAUGUGUCGUAGUGUAAUAGGUUGUACUUUAUUUUAUUUUUUAAAAAAGGAAAAAGAAGAAAAGAGAGAACUUAGUCAUUUAGUUAAAUGGGGCGCCUCCUCACCCCACUUACAGUUUUUUUCUCUUCUUUUUAUUUUCUUUUAUGUUAUUAUAUUUUUAUAUUAUUAUUAUUACUAUUAUUAUUAUUAUUAUUAUUAUUAUUAUUAUUAUUAUUAUUAUUAGCUUGUUAUGAUUAU
rnacentral:lncRNA from 1 species